UUACCAGAAACCCCCAUAGUCGGGUCGUUAGAUGAAUAUUCUUCAGCAUACCGUCCAUCUGAUCGACCAAAAUUCAUGAUGGACACCAAAUAAAACACGAUUUUUAAACGAUUUUAAAAACACUUGCCAUCUUCACAAAAUGACUGAAAUUUUUUCUGACGAAACACGCGUGUGAAGAUUGCAUAAUCGCCGGUUACAAAACUCCGAUGGGGUUUGUUUACCCUCAAGUUUCCUGGGGACGUUAUGCCGCCAUUCCCGCCUUUUGUGACAAUUCCCACAGAUUGGUCAAUUU